ACAUGCUUACAGCAUAUCAUUAAUGCACCGGAUCCCAUUAGAACUCUGCAGUUAAGUGUGCUCAGGAUAUAUUUGUACUAGGAUGGGUGACCACCAAGGAAAUCUUAGUAUUUUACAUGUC
rfam:Picea glauca, whole genome shotgun sequence.